rnacentral:lncRNA from 1 species
UGCCGUAGAAGCUCGUCCGAUAUCCAUCCGCUAUGAAAGUUCGAUUGAAGUCUGGUUCUUAUAGAAGGCUGAAAGGAGACCGCUUAUUGUAGAAGCUUGGUCGAAGAUCAGUUGUCAUGGGAGCUCGGAGUAGCAACCUGGCCGGUGGGUCCUGUCCCAUUGUAGAAGCUCGGUCAAAGAUCGGGCUACGAAGAAGCUCGGCUAAAGUCUACCUGUAAUAGG